GGGGGUGCCAGCAGGCGGUAAAAUUCCAGCCCCAAUAGCGUAUAUUAAAGUUGUUGCAGUUUAAAAAAGCUCCGUAAGUUGAAUUUCGGGGUUCUACCGUUGGUCGGGCUAUUGUCUGUACUGGGGUGUAGAAUUUCUCCCUUUCUGGGGAACACAUCCAUGUUAUUAAUUUAGCGUGGUGGGAAACCAGAACCUUUACCUUGAAAAAAUUAUAGUG
rnacentral:rRNA from 1 species